GCUUCCGUUCAAAUAUCUGAACCCUCUUAAUUUUAAGGGCAGAUGUUAAAGUUGAAAUCCAUCGAGCUGAAAAAGAAAAAUAAACAGCUGUAAACAAGUAGAGGAAAAGAAGAAUUCGUGGAGGAUAAUAUAUAUGUGCCCCACUUCAUGUCAUUGCAGAGAGGUAAUGGACAACUACUUGUUUUAUUCUGUGUCGACUGUUUAGUAGCAUUAACUGGUUUAAUGCCAAUCAGUUCCAUGGAUAAUGCAAACAAUCAAUCUCUUAAUUACAAUUAGGGAACAUUAAUCUAUUCGGUAAAAGCACAUGGAUUAUAAGAAUCAGGAUUUGUGCAUAUCCCUAACUGUAGCAGCAUCUUCAGUUUCUUUCUUUCUUUCUUUUGCCCCCCGCCGCCCCGUUUUAGCUUACAUUACUGUUUCAAGUUAUUGCAUUUAAUUAUGCUUCAUUACUGUUUCUCAGCACGCAGUCGAGUUUUGGAAAUGAAUGAAACAUACAGAAAACAUCUCUGAUGCUACUUGAAAACGACAAACAAUGGACUGGUACUUGAAAACGACAAACAAUGGACUCGACAGUAGUAGACAUCAAAUAUAUCAGGUUGUUAUUGCUAUGCAGAUAUCAAUAUCAAACAAGUUUCUCCUUAGAGCAUUGAAAGUUUGUUGCGGCCGUCCACAGACAAAGCAUCUCCAUCAGUAGUCACUUCUAUGGACCCAGUAGGCAUGGACUAGGAUGCUAGUCCGUAUGUUGAGAUAACAUUUUUCAGAGUAUUAUUUCGUUUUGUGAGCAUGGUAAUAAUCUUAUUUACAAAUUUAACAAGCUAGUAAUCAAUUUUGCCCCCUGCUCAGACUUGAAUGCAAACUGAAAGUGAUUAUAGAUUCUUGAUACUAGCUCGGACUUCUAAAUUCAAACUAAUGCAAUCAGUUACCAGUUUAUAAUGUGAAAAUUUGAUGAUCUCAGCUGAUAGCCAAAAGCAAUGAUUCAUAAUCCAAAUUUAUAGUGAGACACUUGAAUGUCUAACAGUAGAGUAUGAAAUAGCAGACUUAUGAUACAUGAAGAGUGGGCAGAUUCAGUUCAUAUGUUAUGUCACAGAGCUCAACUUUGAUGCUGCUGCUGCUUAGAAUCCAUGAAUCUUGACAUGCUCUUUCUUUACUAUACCGGCCUGUUUGCCAUGCAAUGUAGUGAAUAAUACUCAAAAAUAGAACUACAGAACACAAACAUCACUGAAGUGUAGCCACCAAGGAGGCCAGAACAUUCUUCCUUUGAUCACCAUGGAGUUGUAGAACAAUGCACAGCGUUCUAACAUGUGAGGCCCAGAAAUAGCAGGCAUGCGCCAUGACAAAAACUAAUGCAGCAAAAGAAAAACCUGCCCCAGCUCCGGGUCCUGGACAACAGUUCCAUUGCAACAGAAAUUUAUUUUAAAGGUCCUUGAGAAUCAUGCUAUAGCUGAAUUACUUCUUCAAACCUUGGACAGUUGUCAGGCUUUUCUUACCAUUACACUGUUGUAUGCGAAUAUGCACAUAUCCCUUGGUCCCAGCACCUGAAUCUGCAGUGAAUGGAUUUGGC
rnacentral:lncRNA from 1 species